UUUGGGUCCACGGCUGCCAGAUUGGCUGAAA
rnacentral:piRNA from 1 species